GAGGCAGUGAGCCCUGACCUUGCCAGCUUCCAGCGGACCCUGGGCCACAUCACCACGCUGCUGAGGCCCCGGGGGCGCCUCCUCCUCAUCGGGGCCCUGGAAGAGUCCUGGUACCUGGCCCAGGAGGCCAGGCUGACGGUGGUGCCCCUGAGAGAGGAGGACGUGAGGGAGGCCCUGGUGCACUGCGGUUACUGG